rnacentral:rRNA from 1 species
GAUGAACGCUGGCGGCGUGCCUAAUACAUGCAAGUCGAGCGAACAGACGAGGAGCUUGCUCCUCUGACGUUAGCGGCGGACGGGUGAGUAACACGUGGAUAACCUACCUAUAAGACUGGGAUAACUUCGGGAAACCGGAGCUAAUACCGGAUAAUAUAUUGAACCGCAUGGUUCAAUAGUGAAAGACGGUUUUGCUGUCACUUAUAGAUGGAUCCGCGCCGCAUUAGCUAGUUGGUAAGGUAACGGCUUACCAAGGCAACGAUGCGUAACCGACCUGAGAGGGUGAUCGGCCACACUGGAACUGAGACACGGUCCAGACUCCUACGGGAGGCAGCAGUAGGGAAUCUUCCGCAAUGGGCGAAAGCCUGACGGAGCAACGCCGCGUGAGUGAUGAAGGUCUUCAGAUCGUAAAACUCUGUUAUUAGGGAAGAACAAAUGUGUAAGUAACUAUGCACGUCUUGACGGUACCUAAUCAGAAAGCCACGGCUAACUACGUG